rnacentral:rRNA from 1 species
UGGGGAAUUUUGGACAAUGGGGGCAACCCUGAUCCAGCCAUGCCGCGUGAGUGAAGAAGGCCUUCGGGUUGUAACGCUCUUUCAGGUGGCAAGAAAUCUCCUGGGUGAAUCCCCCGGGAGGAUGACGGUACCAUCAGAAGAAGCACCGGCUAACUACGUGCCAGCCGCCGCGGUAAUACGUAGGGUGCGAGCGUUAAUCGGAAUUACUGGGCGUAAAGCGUGCGCAGGCGGUUGUGUAAGACAGAUGUGAAAUCCCCGGGCUCAACCUGGGAACUGCGGUUGUGGCUGCACAACUAGAGUACGGCAGAGGGAGGUGGAAUUCCGCGUGUAGCAGUGGAAUGCGUAGAGAUGCGGAGGAACACCGAUGGCGAAGGCAGCCUCCUGGGCCAGUACUGACGCUCAUGCACGAAAGCGUGGGGAGCAAACA